CAGAGCCGCCAUCUUGUUUUGCCCUUGUGCUUUACAACAUCUUCCUCCAAACUUUUGCUGCCAUCGCUGAUGAGCCUCGAAGAAACUUUGGCAGGUCAUGUUCUCCAGGACCAUCAACCUGGGUCCGUGCCAGUACACUUCUUUCCACACCUCUGAUGGGGAAAUGCGAUGCUGUCUUGAGGGGAAUGUUUUUGGAACGGUUGUCUUAAGGUUUCCCGAAGUUCAGGACUCGACUGAGCGGCUUUUGUGGCGAAAUGACGUAACGUGACGAGAAGCUGCUGAUGGUGUGUUUGACGAAGAAGCAGCUAGUAGAAGUCCACUCUCUAAGUUUAAUGGAUUACCGGCACACUUCUGGAAUCUCUCCUGUGUAUAAAAGGUGCUAGACAAAUACACUCUGGGGGUAAAAGUGGUGCAGUGAAUGUGUGCAGUGUUCACACAAGGCCUUCUUUUCACGGCGUGUUUACACUCGCGGUCACAUGUCUCAAUCCAGGCAGAAGAAACGUCCUAUCACCUUCUUCCCGACAGAUUAACCCUCACAUGCAGGUUAACAGCACUCAUCCCGCACAGGAAAUUCCUGUUGCACAUGUUGCUAAGGUUUUGUUGCAUUGGAAUUCAAGG